CAUCUUUUCUUGUUAGUUUUUGAAGUAUGGCCUGCCCACUGACUUGGAGUUGAAGGGCCGCGGUAUUUUGACCGUGCAAAGGUAGCAUAAUCAUUAGUUCUUUAAUUGUGAUCUGGUAUGAAUGGCUUGACGAGACAUAAGCUGUCUUAGAGGUAUUGAUUUAUUGAAUUUGGUUUUUGAGUUAAAAUUCUUAAAUGUUUUUAUGGGACGAGAAGACCCUAUAGAGUUUGACAAUUUUCCUAUUUGUUCGUUGUUUGUUUUAUUUACAUUGAGUGGGAGUGAAUUGUUUUGUUGGGGUGAUGGGAGGAAUAUUGUUUAACUCCUCUUUAUUUUUAUAUAUUUAUGUAUAUAUUUUUGAUCCAUUUAUUUUGAUUAUAAGAUUAAAUUACCUUA
rnacentral:rRNA from 1 species